rnacentral:lncRNA from 1 species
CUGAUUUUAAUGUUAUUGUUGACAUUUAUUACCCUUUCAUGUGGAUGUAAAAAUAAUUUUAUAUGAAACUGAAGAUGAUUCUUGUCUCUUGAAUUCUUAUUAUUGUUUAUAUUUCUAGUCCUUAAUUGAAAAUUCUUCAAGUUUUGCAUUAUAUUAUUGUUACCUUGCCUCAUUUUUUCUGUCUCCUAUUUAUAGCACUUACAAAUGAAAGAUCAACAUUCAUCGAGGAGAGUAAAGACAGUAUUUUCAUUCUUCAAAAAGACUGAUCAAUCUAGUGAAAGUAUAUCUCCGAAAAUUGAACACCCCUCAGCCUCAACUCCUCUACAACAUCCUCCAAUUCUAGCUCCAGAAAUUGACCAUUCGUCGGUCUCAAGUCCAGAAUUGCAAUCAUGUACUAGUUUUGAAGGGGAUCUGGGAAAAAGAAAGUAAAUGUUUGAACAUCCUGCCAAUCUACGAAAUGAGAUUAGAAUUGCAUAUAAAAGUUAGACCUUAUCAGCUAGAGCUUGAGGAGUAUCCAAGAUAGAAGGAAAAAACAAUCUCGUCGCUUUCAGAAAAAAAGGUUUAUUGAAUUUCCUUGGUUGAAGUAUUCUCCUUCAACUGAAAAGGCAUAUGGCUUUUACUAUUUUCUUUUUCAGAAAGAAGGCA